AACCUCACCCCACUUGGGUUUUUGCCCGAGCGGUGGUGGAUUGGGCGUCUGCCGUCAAUGGCUCGCCUGAAAAGCAUAAGCAACUUUGGAUGUAAUACGUUUCAUCCUUUCGAGUGGCUGACAACCCCACAUAUCUCAUGAUCUGGCCUCAAAUCAGGUAGGGCUACCCGCUGAACUUAAGCAUAUCAAUAAGCGGAGGAAAAGAAACUAACUAGGAUUCCCUUAGUAACGGCGAGUGAACCGGGAUGAGCUCAAAUUUAAAAUCUGGCGUCUUUCAGGCGUCCGAGUUGUAAUCUAUAGAGGCGUUUUCCGCGCCGGACCGCGUCCAAGUCCCUUGGAAUAGGGUAUCAAAGAGGGUGACAAUCCCGUACUUGACGCGACGACCGGUGCUCUGUGAUACGUUCUCAACGAGUCGAGUUGUUUGGGAAUGCAGCUCUAAACGGGUGGUAAAUUCCAUCUAAGGCUAAAUAUUGGCGAGAGACCGAUAGCGAACAAGUACCGUGAGGGAAAGAUGAAAAGCACUUUGGAAAGAGAGUUAAACAGCACGUGAAAUUGUUAAAAGGGAAACGAUUGAAGUCAGUCGUGUGAAAGGUAUUCAGCCGUCUCUGGCGGUGUAUUUGCCUUUCACGGGUCAACAUCAGUUUGAUCCGGCAGAAAAAGGCGGGAGGAAGGUGGCACCCUCGGGUGUGUUAUAGCCUCCUGUCACAUGUGUCGGACCAGACUGAGGAACGCAGCUCGCAGCAAUGCCGGGGUUCGCCCACGUACGAGCUUAGGA
rnacentral:rRNA from 1 species